CCUGGUCAAAAUUAAAUACUAAACCGCAUAAGAUAGAGUCACUAGAAGUUAGGGUUUUCUACUUUUGUUUCCUUUGAGCCUGAGUACCGCCUCUCCUCUCAAGUGUGCCCUAAGAUUGACCUCUCCAUCUCCGCGGCCGACGAGAAUAGCACUUUCAAGCUUAAAAGAUGUGCCAGAGGGAGCAGAAAAGAGCAAUUGGGAAUAGUUCGUCAAGGAGCAUUUUUAACUAAAAAAUUUAAGGUAACGACGUGACAUUGGGAGAGACCAAGUGAACGAUAACAUAGCUAAACGACAAAGGUAGACAGGGAGGUGAGCUUGGUCCAGACCCUUAGUAGCUGUCAGCUGAUUGAGAGCACUCCAUUGUCCGGAGGUGCUUAUGAUUCUUCUUUUGGUAUAUAUGCAUAUUUUGGGCACGACGGAGUCUUGUUCCGUCUAUAUGUUUAGUAUGUCAGUAGAGGCUCGUAGAUACGCAGUGUGGGUCAGAUGGUCUCACAAGAUGUUAUUAUUAUGUAUAUAUUAUUUUGAUGGCCGAGAGGCAAAUCUAUAUAAGUAUUUAUGU